UACGUAGGGUGCAAGCGUUAAUCGGAAUUACUGGGCGUAAAGCGUGCGCAGGCGGUUAUGCAAGACAGAUGUGAAAUCCCCGGGCUCAACCUGGGAACUGCAUUUGUGACUGCAUGGCUAGAGUACGGUAGAGGGGGAUGGAAUUCCGCGUGUAGCAGUGAAAUGCGUAGAUAUGCGGAGGAACACCGGUGGCGAAGGCGGCAUCCUGGACCGGUAUUGACGCUGAGGCGCGAAAGCCAGGGGAGCAAACGGG
rnacentral:rRNA from 1 species